rnacentral:rRNA from 1 species
GACGAACGCUGGCGGCGUGCUUAACACAUGCAAGUCGAACGGAAAGGCCCUGCUUUUGUGGGGUGCUCGAGUGGCGAACGGGUGAGUAACACGUGAGUAACCUGCUCUUGACUUUGGGAUAACUUCAGGAAACUGGGGCUAAUACCGGAUAGGAGCUCCUGCUGCAUGGUGGGGGUUGGAAAGUUUCGGCGGUUGGGGAUGGACUCGCGGCUUAUCAGCUUGUUGGUGGGGUAGUGGCUUACCAAGGCUUUGACGGGUAGCCGGCCUGAGAGGGUGACCGGCCACAUUGGGACUGAGAUACGGCCCAGACUCCUACGGGAGGCAGCAGUGGGGAAUAUUGCACAAUGGGCGGAAGCCUGAUGCAGCAACGCCGCGUGCGGGAUGACGGCCUUCGGGUUGUAAACCGCUUUCGCCUGUGACGAAGCGUGAGUGACGGUAAUGGGUAAAGAAGCACCGGCUAACUACGUG